CCUACGGGAGGCUGCAGUGGGGAAUAUUGCGCAAUGGGCGAAAGCCUGACGCAGCGACGCCGCGUGAAGGAAGAAGGCUUUCGGGUUGUAAACUUCUUUUAAGGGGGAAGAGCAGAAGACGGUACCCCUUGAAUAAGCCACGGCUAACUACGUGCCAGCAGCCGCGGUAAUACGUAGGUGGCAAGCGUUGUCCGGAUUUACUGGGUGUAAAGGGCGUGCAGCCGGAGAGACAAGUCAGAUGUGAAAUCCACGGGCUCAACCCGUGAACUGCAUUUGAAACUGUUUCCCUUGAGUGUCGGAGAGGUAAUCGGAAUUCCUUGUGUAGCGGUGAAAUGCGUAGAUAUAAGGAAGAACACCAGUGGCGAAGGCGGAUUACUGGACGAUAACUGACGGUGAGGCGCGAAAGCGUGGGGAGCAAACAGGAUUAGAUACCCCAGUAGUC
rnacentral:rRNA from 1 species